rnacentral:rRNA from 1 species
CUCAUAUUGAACGCUGGCGGCAGGCCUAACACAUGCAAGUCGAGCGGUAGCACAGAGAGCUUGCUCUCGGGUGACGAGCGGCGGACGGGUGAGUAAUGUCUGGGAAACUGCCUGAUGGAGGGGGAUAACUACUGGAAACGGUAGCUAAUACCGCAUAACGUCGCAAGACCAAAGUGGGGGACCUUCGGGCCUCAUGCCAUCAGAUGUGCCCAGAUGGGAUUAGCUAGUAGGUGGGGUAACGGCUCACCUAGGCGACGAUCCCUAGCUGGUCUGAGAGGAUGACCAGCCACACUGGAACUGAGACACGGUCCAGACUCCUACGGGAGGCAGCAGUGGGGAAUAUUGCACAAUGGGCGCAAGCCUGAUGCAGCCAUGCCGCGUGUGUGAAGAAGGCCUUCGGGUUGUAAAGCACUUUCAGCGGGGAGGAAGGCGGUGAGGUUAAUAACCUCAUCGAUUGACGUUACCCGCAGAAGAAGCACCGGCUAACUCCGUGCCAGCAGCCGCGGUAAUACGGAGGGUGCAAGCGUUAAUCGGAAUUACUGGGCGUAAAGCGCACGCAGGCGGUCUGUCAAGUCGGAUGUGAAAUCCCCGGGCUCAACCUGGGAACUGCAUUCGAAACUGGCAGGCUAGAGUCUUGUAGAGGGGGGUAGAAUUCCAGGUGUAGCGGUGAAAUGCGUAGAGAUCUGGAGGAAUACCGGUGGCGAAGGCGGCCCCCUGGACAAAGACUGACGCUCAGGUGCGAAAGCGUGGGGAGCAAACAGGAUUAGAUACCCUGGUAGUCCACGCCGUAAACGAUGUCGAUUUGGAGGUUGUGCCCUUGAGGCGUGGCUUCCGGAGCUAACGCGUUAAAUCGACCGCCUGGGGAGUACGGCCGCAAGGUUAAAACUCAAAUGAAUUGACGGGGGCCCGCACAAGCGGUGGAGCAUGUGGUUUAAUUCGAUGCAACGCGAAGAACCUUACCUGGUCUUGACAUCCACAGAACUUUCCAGAGAUGGAUUGGUGCCUUCGGGAACUGUGAGACAGGUGCUGCAUGGCUGUCGUCAGCUCGUGUUGUGAAAUGUUGGGUUAAGUCCCGCAACGAGCGCAACCCUUAUCCUUUGUUGCCAGCGGUUAGGCCGGGAACUCAAAGGAGACUGCCAGUGAUAAACUGGAGGAAGGUGGGGAUGACGUCAAGUCAUCAUGGCCCUUACGACCAGGGCUACACACGUGCUACAAUGGCAUAUACAAAGAGAAGCGACCUCGCGAGAGCAAGCGGACCUCAUAAAGUAUGUCGUAGUCCGGAUUGGAGUCUGCAACUCGACUCCAUGAAGUCGGAAUCGCUAGUAAUCGUAGAUCAGAAUGCUACGGUGAAUACGUUCCCGGGCCUUGUACACACCGCCCGUCACACCAUGGGAGUGGGUUGCAAAAGAAGUAGGUAGCUUAACCUUCGGGAGGGCGCUUACCACUUUGUGAUUCAUGAC